ensembl:snoRNA
AAGACUAUACUUUUAGGGAUUGUUUCUAUAGUUUCUGACUUGAGAAAUGUGUUUCUAAACUGUAUGGUCUCGCUGACCACGAUGAAGAGUUGGUGAUACUCCUUCCUGAACAUGAAACAGGCAGAGACUUGGUUUAUUCAUGUUCUCUGCUCCUGAUGACUGUUCACUGUUUCAUCUGGAGACAGUGAGGAAAGGAGUCUGAUCUGAGUGGUU